rnacentral:rRNA from 1 species
CCUGGCUCACGAUGAACGCUAGCGACAGGCUUAACACAUGCAAGUCGAGGGGCAGCGGGGGUAGCAAUACCCGCCGGCGACCGGCGCACGGGUGAGUAACGCGUAUGCAACUUACCUAUCAGAGGGGGAUAACCCGGCGAAAGUCGGACUAAUACCGCAUGAAGCAGGGAUCCCGCAUGGGAAUAUUUGCUAAAGAUUCAUCGCUGAUAGAUAGGCAUGCGUUCCAUUAGGCAGUUGGCGGGGUAACGGCCCACCAAACCGACGAUGGAUAGGGGUUCUGAGAGGAAGGUCCCCCACAUUGGUACUGAGACACGGACCAAACUCCUACGGGAGGCAGCAGUGAGGAAUAUUGGUCAAUGGCCGAGAGGCUGAACCAGCCAAGUCGCGUGAGGGAUGAAGGUUCUAUGGAUCGUAAACCUCUUUUAUAAGGGAAUAAAGUGCGGGACGUGUCCCGUUUUGUAUGUACCUUAUGAAUAAGGAUCGGCUAACUCCGUGCCAGCAGCCGCGGUAAUACGGAGGAUCCGAGCGUUAUCCGGAUUUAUUGGGUUUAAAGGGUGCGUAGGCGGCCUUUUAAGUCAGCGGUGAAAGUCUGUGGCUCAACCAUAGAAUUGCCGUUGAAACUGGGGGGCUUGAGUAUGUUUGAGGCAGGCGGAAUGCGUGGUGUAGCGGUGAAAUGCAUAGAUAUCACGCAGAACCCCGAUUGCGAAGGCAGCCUGCCAAGCCAUGACUGACGCUGAUGCACGAAAGCGUGGGGAUCAAACAGGAUUAGAUACCCUGGUAGUCCACGCAGUAAACGAUGAUCACUAGCUGUUUGCGAUACACUGUAAGCGGCACAGCGAAAGCGUUAAGUGAUCCACCUGGGGAGUACGCCGGCAACGGUGAAACUCAAAGGAAUUGACGGGGGCCCGCACAAGCGGAGGAACAUGUGGUUUAAUUCGAUGAUACGCGAGGAACCUUACCCGGGUUUGAACGCAUUCGGACCGAGGUGGAAACACCUUUUCUAGCAAUAGCCGUUUGCGAGGUGCUGCAUGGUUGUCGUCAGCUCGUGCCGUGAGGUGUCGGCUUAAGUGCCAUAACGAGCGCAACCCUUGCCACUAGUUACUAACAGGUAAAGCUGAGGACUCUGGUGGGACUGCCAGCGUAAGCUGCGAGGAAGGCGGGGAUGACGUCAAAUCAGCACGGCCCUUACAUCCGGGGCGACACACGUGUUACAAUGGCGUGGACAAAGGGAAGCCACCUGGCGACAGGGAGCGGAUCCCCAAACCACGUCUCAGUUCGGAUCGGAGUCUGCAACCCGACUCCGUGAAGCUGGAUUCGCUAGUAAUCGCGCAUCAGCCAUGGCGCGGUGAAUACGUUCCCGGGCCUUGUACACACCGCCC